rnacentral:lncRNA from 1 species
CGGAAGUAAUGGAAAUAACCUCCAGAGAGACAGAAACAAAUGGCAGAAAAUUAGGUGACAGGUCAAGAACAAAAACACAAAUAAAUGAAAUAACGGAAAUAAUGGAAAUAACGGAAAUAACAGAAAUAUCAGAAAUAACCUACACAGAGACAGAAACUUACUGCAGAAAAUUAACUGACAGGUUAAGAACAACAACGGAAAUAACAGAAAUAAAGGAAAUAACGGAAAUAACCUCCGAAAGACAGAAACAUACAGCAGAAAAUUAGGUGACAGGUGAAGAACAACAACGGAAAGAACAGAAAUAACGGAAAGGACCUCCAGAGAGUCAGAAACAUACGACAAAAAAUUAGGUGACAGGUGAAGAAGAACAACGGAAAGAACAGAAAUAACGGAAAGGACCUCCAGAGAGUCAGAAACAUACGACAAAAAAUAUGGUGACAGGUCAAGAAGAACAACGGAAAGAACGGAAAUAACGGAAAGAACCUCCAGAGAGACAGAAAGAUACGGCAAAAAAUU